rnacentral:rRNA from 1 species
GAUGAACGCUAGCGGCAGGCUUAACACAUGCAAGUCGAGGGGCAGCAUGAUGUAGCAAUACAUUGAUGGCGACCGGCGCAAGGGUGCGUAACGCGUGAGUAACAUGCCCGUAUCAGGGGGAUAACCCGAAGAAAUUCGGACUAAUACCCCAUAGUAAUUUGUGGAGGCAUCUCUAUGAAUUUAAAGCUCCGGCGGAUACGGAUUGACUCGCGUGACAUUAGCUAGAUGGUAAGGUAACGGCUUACCAUGGCGACGAUGUCUAGGGGAACUGAGAGGAAGGUCCCCCACACUGGAACUGAGACACGGUCCAGACUCCUACGGGAGGCAGCAGUGAGGAAUAUUGGUCAAUGGGCGAGAGCCUGAACCAGCCAAGUAGCGUGAAGGAAGACUGCCCUAUGGGUUGUAAACUUCUUUGUUCGGGAAUAAAGUGCAGUACGCGUACUGUUUUGUAUGUACCGUUCGAAUAAGCAUCGGCUAAUUCCGUGCCAG